GUCAAACCUCCAGAUGAGAACACAGCCCUGUCAACACCUUGACUGCAGCCUUGAGAAGAUCUUAAACAGAAAACCCGACUAAGUGGUGCCUGGAUUCCUGACCUACAGAAACAGUGUGCUCCUGUUUCAGUGUGUCUGCACCUUUUGUCCCCUCUGCCUGAAACACAUCUUCCUGCUCCACAGAACUGCCUCCUUCCCACCCUGCAAGUCUCAGCCAGACGUCUUCAUCUCAGAGAGGCUUCCCUGUCUCCUCUUUCCUUCCCACUCCUGCAACUCUCACCAGCACCGUGCAACAAACAGAACUUUCUGCAGCGAUUGAAAUAUUCUUUAUCUGUAACAUUCAAUGCAGUGGCUACUAUCCAGGAGACUACUGAGCCUCAGAAGGUGGCAAGUGUGACUACAGAACU
rnacentral:lncRNA from 1 species